GACGAACGCUGGCGGCGUGCUUAACACAUGCAAGUCGAACGGAAAGGCCCUGCUUUUGUGGGGUGCUCGAGUGGCGAACGGGUGAGUAACACGUGAGUAACCUGCCCUUGACUUUGGGAUAACUUCAGGAAACUGGGGCUAAUACCGGAUAGGAGCUCCUGCUGCAUGGUGGGGGUUGGAAAGUUUCGGCGGUUGGGGAUGGACUCGCGGCUUAUCAGCUUGUUGGUGGGGUAGUGGCUUACCAAGGCUUUGACGGGUAGCCGGCCUGAGAGGGUGACCGGCCACAUUGGGACUGAGAUGCGGCCCAGACUCCAACGGGAGGCAGCAGUGGAGAAAAUUGCACAAUGGGCGGAAGCCUGAUGCAGCAACGCCGCGUGCGGGAUGACGGCCUUCGGGUUAUAAACCGCUUUCGCCUGUGACGAAGCGUGAGUGACGGUAAUGGGUAAAGAAGCACCGGCUAACUACGUG
rnacentral:rRNA from 1 species